rnacentral:rRNA from 1 species
GUUACUUCGGUACAUCGGUGACAGGUGGUGCAUGGUUGUCGUCAGCUCGUGUCGUGAGAUGUUGGUUAAGUCCCGCAACGAGCGCAACCCUUGUCAUUAGUUGCUACAUUCAGUUGGGCGCUCUAAUGAGACUGCCGGUGACAAGCCGGAGGAAGGUGGGGAUGACGUCAAGUCCUCAUGGCCCUUAUAGGUGGGGCUACACACGUCAUACAAUGGCUGGUACAAAGGGUUGCCAACCCGCGAGGGGGAGCCAAUCCCAUAAAGCCAGUCGUAGUCCGGAUCGUUCUCUGCAACUCGAGAGCAUGAAGUCGGAAUCGCUAGUAAUCGCGGAUCAGCAUGUCGCGGUGAAUACGUUCCCGGGUCUU